CCUGCGGAAGGAUCAUUAUUUUAGUAGCUUGCUACUGCUCAGAGGUUUUGUCAGACUGUAUAGUAAUGCUACUGAUGAGCAGCAUAAACCUCGACCCUAACCCUUGUUUUUUGUGUACCUAUGUUUCCUCAGCGGAUUCUAUCCGCUGGUUGGACAUCUCUAACAUAUUUGAAUAUUCAAUCAGCGUCUGAGAAACUUAAUCAUUACAACUUUCAACAACGGAUCUCUUGGUUCUGGCAUCGAUGAAGAACGCAGCGAAAUGCGAUAAGUAGUGUGAAUUGCAGAAUUCAGUGAAUCAUCGAAUCUUUGAACGCACAUUGCGCCCCUUGGUAUUCCAUGGGGCAUGCCUGUUCGAGCGUCAUUUGUCUCUCAAGCUGUGCUUGGUGUUGGGUGUUUGUCCAUUCUCUUGUGCCUGGACUCAUCUCAAAGCAAUUGGCAGCCAGUGUUUUGGUUUACUAGUGCAGCACAUUUUGUACUUAUAGCCUCGAUACUUGCAACCCAUAAGAAUUUUUACUCUUGACCUCGGAUCAGGUA
rnacentral:rRNA from 1 species